CGGCUAUCAGGUUGGACGUCAGUAAGGUGCGGAAUCCCACAAGGGAGUAAUUUGGGUCCGUUACUGUUCCUUAUCUAUAUUAACGACCUGCCAAAUUGCCUCCACCACGCCACUCCUAGAAUGUUUGCAGACGAUACGAAUGUAAGCUUUGCAGCUGAUUCUCUGGAAGAGCUCCAAAGUGUCAUUAAUUCUGAAUUAGAACGUCUUAAAAGCUGGC